UACAGAGGGGGGCAAGCGUUUGUUCGGAAUUACUGGGCGUAAAGGGCGCGUAGGCGGCCUUCUAAGUCGAACGUGAAAUCCCCGGGCUCAACCCGGGAACUGCGUCCGAUAGUGAAGGCUUGAAUCCGGGAGAGGGAUGUGGAAUUCCAGGUGUAGCGGUGAAAUGCGUAGAUAUCUGGAGGAACACCGGUGGCGAAGGCGACAUCCUGGACCGGUAUUGACGCUGAGGCGCGAAAGCCAGGGGAGCAAACGGG
rnacentral:rRNA from 1 species